CCUACUGCAGUCACUGACGAAUUUGUUUUGGACUUCAUUAACAUGAAGACUUCAUCCCAUUGCUGGGGGGAAGGACUUGGAGGGAGCUGUAAUACCUUUUAUUAGGCUGGCUGACCAGGGGAGGGAGAAGAGACGUGAACAAUCCUUGUAGAGGUCCCAAGAGCUGCAGUGGGAGACACUUCCCAGUCUCUGCUCCAGAGGGAGGA
rnacentral:lncRNA from 1 species